UGCAUACGUACGGAUUGCGUAGGGAAGUGUAGAGAGAUGCAUACCAUGGAAUGGAAGCUGACAGUUUGUCGGAAUUCUAUCGAAGAAUCUCGGACAUAAAAGAAAACCAAGACAGGGAUUUAUCAGAUACAGAGGUUACUUGCUCUGUUCUAACCAAACAAAAAACUCUCGAUAGCUUCUCAGUUUUUGUAACACCGACAAAAUAUCAAGAACGUUUUUUUUUUUCUUUGUUCUUUUUCUUUUGGGGUGUUAAAAUUAUUGGUGAUGGUGGUGGUGGUAAGUGUGCAUGAAGGAAGAAGGGUGAUGGUGAUGAUUAUGGUGAUGUUAUUCUUGGAAGAUAAGCUGCUGGUUCACUUACCCCACCCCCUACCCACCUUCAUUUAAAAUAAAAUAAUUAACUUAUUUAUUUACUGUUAACUUUCUAUAAUAUGGAAGUCGGGAAGAGACGGAUUUGAAAUCCGAUGAAGA
rnacentral:lncRNA from 1 species